rnacentral:rRNA from 1 species
ACGGCUCAGUAACACGUCGAUAAUCUGCCCUAAGGUUGAGGAUACCCACGGAAAACUGUGGUUAAUACUUGAUAUUGAAUGAAUUCUGGAAUGAGUCAUUCGUUAAACGUAAGGCCUUAGGAUGAGUCGGCGGCAGAUUAGGCAGUUGGCGGUGUAACGGACCACCAAACCAAAGAUCUGUAGGGGCCCUGAGAGGGGUAGCCCCGAGAGGGACACUGAAAUACUGGUCCCAGCUCCACGGAGUGCAGCAGGCGCGAAACCUUCACAAUGCGCGAAAGCGUGAUGGGGGGAUCCUGAGUGCUUACACUUUUGUGUAAGCUUUUGCCAAGAGUUCACAUCUUGGGGAAUAAGUGGUGGGUAAGACCGGUGCCAGCAGCCGCGGUAACCCCGGCGCCACGAGUGGCAAUCUUAUAUUGGGCCUAAAGCAUUCGUAGCCGGAUUAAAAAAUCUCUUGUGAAAUUGUCGAACUUAAUACGACAGCAUGCAGGAGACACUUUUAGUCUAGAGACUGGGAGGUGUUGGGAGUAUGCCUUGGGGAGCGGUUAAAUGUGAUAAUCCAAGGUGGACUACCUGUGGCGAAGGCGCCCAACAAGAACAGUUCUGACGGUGAGGGAUGAAAGCUAGGGGAGCGAUCCGGAUUAGAUACCCGAGUAGUCCUAGCUGUAAACACUGCGAGCUAGGUGUCGCAUAUUCUACGAGAAUAUGCGGUGUCGAAAAGAAGAUGAUAAGCUCGCCGCCUGGGAAGUACGGUCGCAAGACUGAAACUUAAAGGAAUUGGCGGGGGAGCAC